GCCCUGAGAGGGGCGAGCUGCGACUGCGGCCGUUAUUCGGCAAACAAAUCACAGAAGUGAGCCCGGUGCCUAGCCGAGUAAGGAGCAGCAAGCACAGUGUCUGCGGUGCUGCGCUUCAUGAUGGCCUCGCUGUCGUCCUGACAGGGUGAAAUCACAAGAACGAAUAAAGAGGCUGUAACAGUCGGAAAAGCCCAAGUCACAGUUUAAUCUUAUGAACUUGAAAAGAAAUACAAGUUUCUAGUGGGACCAUGGAGAGACAGAAAGGAGGACCGAUAGUCGUAGAGUCCCUGUGAAGGGCCAGGCACUUCAGUUAUUGAGUACUGGACACCACUGACUUAGCAUUAGGAAGAAAAGAAAAGGGCAUUCUGGAGUCUGCCAUGUGACAUCCAUCUCUCAUCUUCAAAGCCCUACCUCCAGAUGACCCUUUCUCUAAGAUAUUGUUGUCCUUAAGGAUAAAAGGAUUUAACAACAACAACAACAAAAACAAAGUUGGGAAAUCCACUUUAGACCCCAUCAGCGCCCGAACUGCUCCCCACCUGAAAGUGGCUAAGCAGAAAAGAAACUCCAGGCCAGCCAAGGGAAGCUUGCACUGCACAGCUCCCACAAAAGGGGAUUCACACGAGGCUGUGCUGGAGGAUGCCAUCAACCCCAGUGUGCUUGGUGUGAAGGAGCCCCACAGCAAUCCCAGGUCCAGAUGGAGCCUGGCAUCUCACAGGCUGACACACAACAGGGAACUGUAGAGCUGGCCUUCUAACUGGCCACAGUGGGAGACCUUACUGUGCAUAAAAUAAGGCAAACCUCUUGCACAAAGCUGAACACAGAGCCACCAGCAACUCCUGCUCUUCGCCUUUCACAACUUUGCUACAAAGAAAAACAACAAUAACAAAAAUACCUUGGCCAAAUUACCCACCUCCUCUCCCAAGCCUGAGGCCAGCAGAAAAGUCUAACUAAAAAUCUGCAGAAUCUGAGCUCGGGAUUGGACCCUUGGACAGGAACAUCAUCAUCAUCAUCAUCAUCAUAAUAAUAGCAGCUACUUUGAACCAGAUGGUCAAG
rnacentral:lncRNA from 1 species